CCUCAAUGCUGUCACAGCAAAUAGCAGGAUUGGAGGAACUGUUAAAGUCACUCCUGUUUCUGAUGGCAGUGUGAGUUCUCAAUCUACACAGGAUGACGUGAAAGAAAAGAUCAAGAACUACUGCUUGGCAGCCACACUUCUUGAACAAGGAGCUCCAUUUCACCUGCCAUUGCCUCAACCCACUGAAAAUGGGAUUUGGUCCCUACUGAGCUGUCCAAAUUCCUUCCUCCAAGGCGAUCCCUCAAGAGCAAAGGCCUAGCACAUGGCUGAGCACUUGACACCACCAGCAGUGUUUGCUUUGUCAGUUUUCAAACUUUGUCCUUCUCUAGCACUCUCCUCUUGCCCCUCUGGCUGUCCCUGUCUAAAUCUCCUGCACUGGAGCAUCUCCCUGAGCCCAGCUCACAUUGGCAAUAUUCUUUGCUUCAUCCUGGUACACUGUCCCCAGACAACUCAGUCACUUGUGGGGCUUUGGUUGCUGCCUAAAUGCAGAAGAACUUGGUCUACAUGCUAGGUCUUUCUGUGCUCCAGAUCUUUCUGGGCUGCCUGCCUAACUGGAUGCCCAAAACACUUCAAUUUCUCCCCUAACUGAGGCUUUGGUGAGGAGAAAUAUUGACUCCAACUCUAUCCCAGUGCUUUACUGUGGGCAGAGUAUAGACCUAGCCCCUUGAUUUGGGGCUUAGCCGUGUGACUUCCUUUGGCCAGUAAUGAGGGUAGGGGAUGGAAGUAGGAGUGUGCCACAGCUGAACCUCUGGCAUGGCAGUGAGAAGAGCUUCCCCUGGCAAGCUGCUGCCUCCCGUAUCUGGGCCCAGAAUGAGCACACAUGGAGCCAAGCCAAGCUGCCCUCACCAACCCACAGACAUAAAGCAAGAGGCAGGGCAAGCCCAGUGUGGUGGCUCACGCCUGUAAUCCCAGUGCUUUGGAGGACUAAGGUGGAUGGAUUCCUUGACCCCAGGAGUUCAAGAUCAGCGUGGGCAACAUAGUGAGACUUCAUUGCUACAAAAAAUAAAAUAUAUUUGCCAAGCAUGAUGGUGCACACCUGUAGCCCCAGCUCCCUGGGAGACUGGGGUAGGAGGAUUGCUAAAGCCUGGGCUGAGUCAAAGCUGCAGAUCCAUGCAGAGCCAUGAUAGUGCUACCGCACUCUGACCUGAGUGACAGAGCGAGAGCUUGUCUCAAAAAAAA
rnacentral:lncRNA from 1 species